rnacentral:rRNA from 1 species
UACGUAGGGGGCAAGCGUUGUCCGGAAUCAUUGGGCGUAAAGGGCUCGUAGGCGGUCCAUCACGUCGGGAGUGAAAAGCUGGGGCUUAACCCCAGUCCUGCUUUCGAUACGGGCAGACUGGAGGUAUGCAGGGGAGAACGGAAUUCCUGGUGUAGCGGUGAAAUGCGCAGAUAUCAGGAGGAACACCGGUGGCGAAGGCGGUUCUCUGGGCAUGUCCUGACGCUGAGGAGCGAAAGUGUGGGGAGCGAACAGG